UCCUUGUUAGUACAGUGGUGAGUAUCCCCGCCUGUCAGGCGGGAGACCGGGGUUCGAUUCCCCGACGGGGAG
rfam:Xiphophorus maculatus strain JP 163 A Contig7.141, whole genome shotgun sequence.